AAGAAUUGCCCCGUUUUUUGAAAUGGGUUCUAUUCCCAAACCGUGUCUAUAUACCUUUGUUGCUUUGGCAGGCCGCCGCUUAGGCGUUGGCUCCGGCUGACUGCGCCUGCCAGAGGACCCAAACUCGUUUGUUAGUGAUGUCUGAGUACUAUAUAAUAGUUA
rnacentral:misc_RNA from 1 species